rnacentral:rRNA from 1 species
UUCGCAAUGCCCGAAAGGGUGACGAAGCGACGCCGCGUGUGGGAAGAAGGCCUUCGGGUUGUAAACCGCUGUUGGGAGUUAGGAAAUGUGGAGGUGUUAAUAGCGCUUCCACUUGACUAAAGCUCCAGAGGAAGCCACGGCUAACUCUGUGCCAGCAGCCGCGGUAAUACAGAGGCGGCAAGCGUUGUUCGGAAUUAUUGGGCGUAAAGAGCACGUAGGCGGCUCUGCAAGUCAGCUGUGAAAGCCUUCUGCUUAACGGAAGAACAGCAGUUGAAACUACAGGGCUUGAGUGCGGGAGGGGAGAGUGGAACUUCUGGUGGAGCGGUGAAAUGCGUAGAUAUCAGAAGGAACGCCGGCGGCGAAAGCGGCUCUCUGGUCCGUAACUGACGCUGAGUGUGCGAAAGCUAGGGGAGCAAACGGGAUUAGAUACCCCGGUAGUCCUAGCCGUAAACGAUGGGCACUAAGUAGAGGGGUUUU